CUUUUCAACUUUUUUUUGUUUGUUUUUGUUAAAGAACAAAAAAAGGAAA
rnacentral:sRNA from 1 species